GGCAUGUGAUAAGAGAAAAAAAAAUUUGAAAAAAGUCUAAGAAAAAGACAAGGAAAAAUAGAGUGGAAAAGAUAAAAAGAAGGGAGGUGAGAAAAAUAGCAAGUAAGGUGUGCUUGUCCUAGGGUUUGAUUUUUCUAUAUGUUGGAGUACAAAAUCAAAUCCUAAGUUGUAAUACUUCUAGAGAGAAUUCUCUUAGCAUGAUCCUAGUGGUAAAAUC
rnacentral:lncRNA from 1 species